rnacentral:rRNA from 1 species
CAGGACGAACGCUGGCGGCGUGCCUAACACAUGCAAGUCGAACGAAGCAUUGGAGUUGAUCUCUUCGGAGUGACGCACCUUAUGACUAGUGGCGGACGGGUGAGUAACACGUGAGCAACCUGCCUCUCAGAGUGGAAUAACAGUUGGAAACGGCUGCUAAUACCACAUAACGUUUUUGUGCCGCAUGACACUUCAACCAAAGAUUUAUCGCUGAGAGAUGGGCUCGCGUCCGAUUAGGUAGAUGGUGGGGUAACGGCCUACCAUGCCGACGAUCGGUAGCCGGACUGAGAGGUUGAUCGGCCACAUUGGGACUGAGACACGGCCCAGACUCCUACGGGAGGCAGCAGUGGGGGAUAUUGGGCAAUGGGCGCAAAGCCUGACCCAGCGACGCCGCGUGAGGGAAGAAGGUCUUCGGAUUGUAAACCUCUUUGACAGGGGACGAAGUAAGUGACGGUACCCUGAAAACAAGCCACGGCUAACUACGUGCCAGCAGCAGC